GCAAAUGCAAGGAACAGAACACGGUUUACUGAUUCCCCGCAUCACAGAGAGCCGUCGGUCGGUGCGAGACGGUAUGCGGUUUCAGGAACUAUCCUCUGCGAGCAGUGCACUGAACCAAGUAGGUGUCACCGGGAUUCCCCCGUUACAGGGAAGCUUAUUGCUGCAGGCUUACGCCCGCAAAGAUGAGAUUGAGAGGUCGUUUUUUACGACAAGCAAAGUGGUAACGCGGAAGCUUACGCCUUCGUCUUUGGC
rnacentral:ncRNA from 1 species